GUCCCAGCUGUAAACGGUGGGCACUAGGUGUGGGGGCAUCGACCCCUCCCGUGCCGCAGCUAACGCAUUAAGUGCCCCGCCUGGGGAGUACGACCGCAAGGUUGAAACUCAAAGGAAUUGACGGGGGCCCGCACAAGCGGUGGAGCAUGUGGUUUAAUUCGAUGCAACGCGAAGAACCUUACCCAGGCUUGACAUGUACUGGACAGGUGUGGAAACACACCCUCCCUUCGGGGCCAGUGCACAGGUGCUGCAUGGCUGUCGU
rnacentral:rRNA from 1 species